rnacentral:lncRNA from 1 species
CCCAGCUUGGUCUGGGCUGCACUCCCUGGGGGAAGAACUCAGAAAGGAAGGAGCUGUGUGCUCAGGUGACACCUCCUCCCUGGACUCUGUCCUGCCGCAGCACCUGCUGCCUUCAGCAGACCAGGCUGAGCUGUUCCCACUGAAUGCACCCUUAGCCCUGUGCUCCACAAGGGGCCUGCAAAAUGCAGGAUCUCACUAAGCUUAAAGAAAACCAGGAAUUUCAGAGACGAACAAGAAAGAGGAGUGCUCCUCUGAAGUGAAUCAGUCCCUGCAAUCCAGCACAUAUUCGACGAGACACACACAGAGGGAAGACAGUGUGAGGAUGCAGGGAGAAGCUGACCAUCUACCAGACAAGCACAGAGGACUCAGAGGAAGCCGAUCCUGCCGACACCCGGACCUCAGACUUCCAGCCUCCAGAACGUGAGAGUCAAUUCUUGUGAUUUAAGCCACCCAGCGGGCCGGACUUUGUGAUGGUCGCCUUGGCACAUUGAUACAGUGUGUGUGCAUGCAUGUGUUUCAUCUUUUCUUACCAGACCUAAAAUGUGCUUUGCAGGGAGCAGGAGCUUGGCACACCUGCGGAAUGUAAGUGCUGUGUGUAAUUGGUGACUCAGGCAGGAACAGGUGCUCACAACUGACAUUCCCAGGCCCUCCUCUCCCACCUUGGUUUGGAGGCCUCCUCCAACCUGCACCUCACCC